rnacentral:rRNA from 1 species
UACGUAGGUGGCGAACGUUGUCCGGAUUUACUGGGCGUAAAGCGCGCGCAGGCGGACCGAUAAGUCAGAGGUGAAAUCUCCCGGCUCAACUGGGAGGGGCCCUUUGAUACUGUCGGUCUUGAGAUGCCUAGAGGAGGGUGGAAUUCCCGGUGUAGUGGUGGAAUGCGUAGAUAUCGGGAAGAACACCGGUGGCGAAGGCGGCUCACUGGCUCAUUUCUGACGCUCAGGCGCGACAGCGUGGGGAUCAAACAGG